rnacentral:rRNA from 1 species
UGGGGAAUAUUGGACAAUGGGCGCAAGCCUGAUCCAGCAAUUCCGCGUGGGUGAAGAAGGUCUUCGGAUUGUAAAGCCCUUUCGACGGGGACGAUGAUGACGGUACCCGUAGAAGAAGCCCCGGCUAACUUCGUGCCAGCAGCCGCGGUAAUACGAAGGGGGCUAGCGUUGCUCGGAAUUACUGGGCGUAAAGGGCGCGUAGGCGGCUUAGUUAGUCAGGCGUGAAAUUCCUGGGCUCAACCUGGGGACUGCGCUUGAUACGGCUAGGCUAGAGGAUGGAAGAGGGUCGCGGAAUUCCCAGUGUAGAGGUGAAAUUCGUAGAUAUUGGGAAGAACACCGGUGGCGAAGGCGGCGACCUGGUCCAUUACUGACGCUGAGGCGCGAC